CCUACGGGUGGCAGCAGUGGGGAAUAUUGGUCAAUGGACGCAACUCUGAACCAGCGACGCCGCGUGAGUGAAGACGUCUCUCUGUAUUGUAAACUCCAUCUGUAGGGGAGAAAAUGACGAUACCUGACUCAGAAUCCCCGGCUAACUACGUGCAAGCAGCCGCGGUAAUACGUAGGCGGCAAGCGUUAUCCGGAUUUACUGGGUGUAAAGGGAGCGUAGUCGGUGCAGAAAGUCUGAUGUGAAAGGUCGGGGCCCAACCCCGGGACUGCAUUGGAAACUGUUGAACUGGAGUGUAGGAGAGGUAGGCGGAAUGCCUGGUGUAGCGGUGAAAUGCUUAGAUAUUAGGCAGAACACCGGUGGCGAAGGCAGCUUACUGGACUGUAACUGACGUUGAGGCACGAAAGCGUGGGGAGCAAACAGGAUUAGAUACCCCUGUAGUC
rnacentral:rRNA from 1 species